rnacentral:sRNA from 1 species
UCUCGGCUCACUGCAGCCUCCGCCUCCUGGGUUCCAGUGAUUCUCCUGCCUCAGCCUCCUGAAUAGCUGGGAUUACAGGCAUGUGCCACCAUGCCCGGCUACUUUUUGUAUUUGCAGUAGAGAUGGGGUUUCACCACGUUGGCCAGGCUGGUGUCAGACUCCUGACCUCAAGUGAUCUGCCUGCCUCGGCCUUCCAAAGUGCUGGGAUUACAGGCGUGAGCCACUGCACCCGGCCGUUGACACUUAUAGCUAGAGUUAGUUAUACCUUUUUUUUUUUUACUGAAAAAUGGGUGUUUUUACUGCAGGUGUUUGCUACAUAGCCCUAGCGUACUAGAAUGCUCCAGGGAAUUUGGACCUGCUUUUUUUGUUUUGUUUUGUUUGAGAUGGAGUCUCGCUCUGUUGCCCAGGAUGGAGUGCAGUGGCGCCAUCUCGGCUCACUGCAAGCUCUGCCUCCCGGGUUCACGCCAUUCUCCUGCCUCAGCCUCCCGAGCAACUGGGACUACAGGUGCCCACCCCCAUGCCCGGCUAAUUUUUUGUGUUUUUAGUAGAGACGGGAUUUCACCGUGUUAGCCAGGAUGGUCUCGAUCUCCUGACCUCGUGAUCCACCCGCCUCGUCCUCCCAAAGUUCUGGGAUUACAGGCGUGAGCCACCGCGCCUGGCCUUGUUUUGUUUUGUUUUUUAACUGUUUUGUCAAAAUAAGUUGGGUAGAGGAACAAGGGAUUUAGCAGUGGAGAAAUUAGAAAGUGCUGGGAAAUGUAGGAUGCAAGUUUUUUGUUUUGUUUUGUUUUUGUUUUUUUAAGGGGUAAGUGGGGUCAUCUGCAUGAUGAAAGUACUCCCUGUUAGAUGCUGGUUUGUUUUACUUUCAUUCAGUUCCAGGCACAAUGUUUUACAUAUACCAUGUAUUGGAUUAUUAUUUUCUAAAUUAAUGGAUACUGAGUGUACUUAAUUUUCUAAUCUGUUGCUUGGGUUAAUUGUAGGAUCCUAAAGGGUAAGAUCAGGUUUAUGUGUUCUCUUUCUACAACUACCGGCACAGUGCUGCAUGUUAUGGGAUGAGAGGGACCAGAAAGGUGAUUUGUGAUGGGUGAAAUGUGCACCGAAGUUAUCAUGGGAAAAGAAAUAGGGGAGAUAAGACAGAGAUGUCCAAACAUCUGGUGCUUUUUCUUUCCUAUGCAGGUCAGAGUUUACCAGCAGGGAUUCACAGAGCUCCGACAAGCAGAUUCUAAACAUCUACGACCUGUGCAACAAGUUCAUAGCCUAUAGCACCGUCUUUGAGGAUGUAGUGGAUGUGCUUGCUGAGUGGGGCUCCCUGUACGUGCUGACGCGGGAUGGGCGGGUCCACGCACUGCAGGAGAAGGACACACAGACCAAACUGGAGGCAAGGCCACCAGGCUCACAGAGCUGGCCACAGGCAUCUAGAAGCAGCUGCAGGAGCAGGUUCCCCAAGUCAUAUUGGUCAGGGUGUUUCCCUCCUUGUGGGUCACAGCCUUACUCAGCUUCCUUAGGGUAGGAUUAUAAGGUAAAUGGCCUGGGAUGGGGCUUUAGAGGGAAGUAGUGGCUGGGAGCCUGAGCCCACUCUAAGGGUCCACUUUGUUUCCAGAUAACCUUAUGAAAUAAGGUGAUACUGAUCUUGGGGAUAUCUGGUAGCUCUUGGUUUGUCUAGGAUCUAGGCAGAUCAGAAAUCCAGGACUUUCUGUUUUGUGUGUUGUGCGCACAUUUUGGGAAAGUGUCUUCCCAGGACCGCUUCUACCAAUUUUCUAAUCUCUCUUCCCUUCUAGAUGCUGUUUAAGAAGAACCUAUUUGAGAUGGCGAUUAACCUUGCCAAGAGCCAGCAUCUGGACAGUGAUGGGCUGGCCCAGAUUUUCAUGCAGUAUGGAGACCAUCUCUACAGCAAGGGCAACCACGAUGGGGCUGUCCAGCAGUAUAUCCGAACCAUUGGAAAGUUGGAGCCAUCCUAUGUGA